CCCACGCUGCACAGGCUCUGAUUGGACGACUCAUUGUGGCCUGAACCCUGUUCAAAAACAAACAAACCCACACAAGUACACGUCAGACAAAGAGUGGAAGGAUAUGCCAAGGGCUGGGAGGGACUAAACUUAAUUCACAGUUAAACAAACCAGGGGUGUGGAAGUGAGGGAUGACUGACUGUUUCUGACGGUUUCUCCCCAUGUCUACUCUCUGGUGAACAGAUAAGACAGAACCUGGUCAGACGGGUUCGGCCGUGGCGUGACGCUUUAGCGGGAGCCGCCAUUUUCUCUGCGACAGCACCAUGCUCUGGGCUCAGUUCUGCCUACGGCUGGCAUAGAGCCCAGUCCUGGCUCUCAUUCACUCUCUGGGCUUCGAAUCACUUCCCACAAAGGCAGCUCUCUAAGAUGGAGUCUACCACCAGCGCCACCAGGCAGGACCUCUAAUCAAAAGCCAGAGCGCUACUGCCAUAACAUCUGGUCAGGGUUUCUACGCGUAUGAGAGUGACAGGCAUUCCUGCCCUUCCCUACUUCCCCCUCCUGCCCGUUCCCUGUCUUGGCAGCCCUCCGCACUUGCAUAUGCAGCCGCCACAUCAUGAGCCAGUAGAAAAGGAUACCAUACCACACCAGCCAACAAACACAGACACACAGCUCUACAUUCUCAAGAGAGAGAGAGACGGAGGGGGCUCUCCUAUCCCUGACCAAGCUCAACCAGAAAGAGAAUCAAACAAAGAAAGGGAGAAACAAAGAGAAGGGGUGAGAGAGAGACAAAGACAGACAGAUAUGGUCCUGAAAUAAAAGUUCACUACUGAGAUCCUGUUGUCAGUCCUACAUUAGUAGAAAGGGUGGAGCGGGAAGGAGCAAGACCCUAUAUAGGCCUCUCUCAUCUCCAAUAAUAUAAUGUAGUAACACAGACCUUAGCCACGCCGACCCCAGUGAAGCGAGCCUCCAGCAGCUCCUGGCGUCGCGGGUCCAGGCUGUGCAGUUCCUCCAUCAUGGCUGCAGGGACAAUGAGCAAGAAACACACAAUUUGAUAUCAGAUCUGUUUACUUUCCAUAGCACAGACGAACAUCAUACAGAGUAAGCAUACAAGGGGCUGGAAAUCCUCUGACAACAGCUUGAAGAUUUAGUGACACGACCAGUUCAGGGUUGUCUAUAGAUGAAUGUGUUGAUGCAUGCAACUAUAAAUUCGUGGAAACUGACUCACGGAUAACCUCAGACACACCUGUUUUAUUUUUAUCAAGUCACCACCACUGAUUCCAACGCAGAACUUGAUCAACAACAAGAGAUGAAGCAAAGACUAAACAGGCAAGAGCUGAGCAUACUCCUGUGCUGACAAGGGACAUUUCAGCAAAUAUGGUUUCAAAACUGUGAUUACAGUAUCGUGAUAAGAUUAGUGAAUCUGAUGGAGUCAUUUUGCCACAUAGCUUCGUUGCCUAGCUAGAUAGCUGACAGUUUUGGCAAGAAGGGUCAGGCCAGCGACCAACCAACUUGUUAAUAGUAUAUCAAAUCAACUCGAUAGAUAACUAACUAGCUGAUCAAAGAGUACAGGCAGCUAUACAUCAUCCACUUGAAGGUGACAAAAUACUAACAAUGAGAGUAACAUGAUAGACAUUGCCAUGACUCAUGAUCAUGUGUUCAUUACACAUUAGUUGACAUGUGUCAAUAAUUCAGGUUCCCCCCUUGGCUAGUCUAUGGGAAUGGCUGCCUUGUUGGUAAUGGCAUUCCAAACAUGUUUUUGUUGCUAAACGCUUGUUGGCUAGCUAGUUAACUACAGUAGCCAGCUAACGUCCGACGUUAGCCACCUGGUGCAGCUAACUAUUAACUAGCAAGUUGGUCACUUCGUUGGCAAAUAUGUCUGAUAGGUAACUAAAAAAAACAGCAUUUUAUAUUUCCAAAUUAUAACUACUUGCAAAAUUGUCAAUUUAAAAGGGGGAAUAGAUAAGUAACGUUACUAGGCUAAGGGUGAUGGAUAGCGAUAUGGCAAAUGUCCGACUAACAUGGAAGGUUAGCUAGCUAGCGUUAGCUACAUGAAAACUGCUGUUUUUCAGGAAUAUUAUGUCCCAACCCAAAGUUAUGUGAGAAAUAAAACAUUAAUACAACUCGA